CCCCUACUCAGUACUCACCACCACCUCUUGGCCACCGAACCACCACCACCCACUACUCAUCCGACGAGCCGUCUCGCCGUUGAGCCCGACGAGCUGUCGCACUGCCCCUCGCCGCCAUGAGCCACCGUCGUUGUCCCCAAACCCACCGUCACCACCUCUUGCCGCCGCUCGCUCGGCCGUCCGGGCGGCCAUUGCUCCGAACCGCCACCGCCUCAGCCAGAACCGAGCUCUUGCCCCCUUGGCCAUGGGUUGAGCCACGACCGCCGCCGUCUUCGCCGCGCCAUCCGUGCCACCGUUGGUGCCAUGAGACUCGUGUCUUCGUCGUCAUCGCACUACGAAAACUUUCCUUAGGUUGAGAGAGAUUCAAAGUCAUUGGUUGAACUCUUGAGACACGUAGCCUUGGUACUGAAAAUUUUAAAAUUAGGAUCAGCUAAGUCACAAUCUAAUUAUGUUUCCACAUGGUCCGAAAUGAUAUCUGCUUGUGCUCAAGAGCUCAAGCAUGGAGCCUCAAUAUGGAAGCAAGCUCUAGAGAAGAAUGUUUCCAGUCAAAUAUUAUCUGAAAAAGAAGGCAAGCAAUAUGUACUUGCCAUGGGAGAAGUUUACAGAGUAGUUGGAGUUCUUGGGGCCUCAGCCAUGUUAUACAAACCAUGGAUUCUUCUUAAUUAUAGAGAUUUCUCUGCCACAUCUGCUCUUUUAGACGAAUGUACUACUCUAUGGUCCAGUUCAGGCCUUGAAGAAGCUCUUCAAAACAUAUAUGAUCCCUAGAGUUCCAAUAUGAGGACAGCGUCAAGGCUUUAUUGGAGUCUAUCAAGCAUGUUUACACUCUCAAUACAGGUGUACUCUAGAAGGCUAUUUUUUCUUGUGAAGAACCUGUUUGCCGUUUGUCUAUGUUAAAUCCAAGAACUGUGCCAGGUAUGAAGAUAAUUUUUGGGACGAGGAGCAGUAUUUUCUCAAACUUGCUAAUCUAUGGGCAAAUUUGAUCAACCAUCAUCCUCCUGAAUUGCCAUCUAUCAAGAUUCAUGGAUUUGAAGGGGCAGGACUAAAUCUCUCUGUUGUGAGGUCGCUUGUGCUUCGUGAAAAGGAAGAUAACAUAUCCAAGUUUCUAGAUGAAGUGAAGCUCUAUUCUUUGGUUAGUUUGCUAUUUGAUGCAGAUAAAUCAAUAAUUAGAUUAUCAAAUUUACUAGUCCAUGAAAUAAUACUCAUCCAUUAUAAAAAAUUUAUCGGUUCUUUUUUAAAAUUAUCCUAUGAUGAUCUUUCACUUCUGUUGUAAUAUCUGCAAGAUAUUUGCGAGAGGAAAGUUUCUCAAAAGAAAGAUCAUUUCGGUUCGAAACCAC